rnacentral:rRNA from 1 species
UACGGAGGGUGCAACCGUUGCUCGGAAUCAUUGGGCGUAAAGCGCACGUAGGCGGACCGCUAAGUCGGAUGUGAAAUCCCUCAGCUUAACUGAGGAAGUGCAUUCGAAACUGACGGUCUUGAGUAUGGAAGAGGGUCGCGGAAUUCCCGGUGUAGAGGUGAAAUUCGUAGAUAUCGGGAGGAACACCAGUGGCGAAGGCGGCGACCUGGGCCAAUACUGACGCUGAGGUGCGAAAGCGUGGGGAGCAAACAGG